rnacentral:rRNA from 1 species
AUUGAACGCUGGCGGAAUGCUUUACACAUGCAAGUCGAACGGCAGCACGGGGCAACCUGGUGGCGAGUGGCGAACGGGUGAGUAAUACAUCGGAACGUGCCCAAUCGUGGGGGAUAACGUAGCGAAAGUUACGCUAAUACCGCAUACGAUCUACGGAUGAAAGCGGGGGAUCGCAAGACCUCGCGCGAAUGGAGCGGCCGAUGUCAGAUUAGGUAGUUGGUGGGGUAAAGGCUCACCAAGCCAACGAUCUGUAGCUGGUCUGAGAGGACGACCAGCCACACUGGAACUGAGACACGGUCCAGACUCCUACGGGAGGCAGCAGUGGGGAAUUUUGGACAAUGGGCGCAAGCCUGAUCCAGCCAUUCCGCGUGCAGGAUGAAGGCCUUCGGGUUGUAAACCGUCUUUUCUGGGUAGAAGAGACAAGGACGGUAUCCCAGGAAUAAGUCUCGGCUAACUACGUAGCCAGCAGCCGCGGUAAU